rnacentral:rRNA from 1 species
CGUGUAGGCGGCUUGGUAAGUCAGAUGUGAAAGCCCUGGGCUCAACCCAGGAAGUGCAUUUGAAACUACUAGACUUGAGUACGGGAGAGGAGGGGGGAAUUCCCGGUGUAGAGGUGAAAUUCGUAGAUAUCGGGAGGAAUACCGGUGGCGAAAGCGCCCCUCUGGACCGAUACUGACGCUGAGACGCGAAAGCGUGGGGAGCAAACA